rfam:Cavia porcellus supercont2_35 genomic scaffold, whole genome shotgun sequence.
GGGGAUUUAGCUCAGUGGCAUAAGUGCCUGCCUUGCAAGCAGGCAGUCCAUGAGUUCAAUCCCUG